AGCUCUAAUAGCGUAUAUUAAAGUUGUUGUGGUUAAAACGCCCGUAGUUGGUUUUUCGAUAUUGGAGGAUAGUGGCUUGAAAGAGUUGACUGUCUUUUUCAAGUCUUUUUGGUUGUUUGCUAGUGGUGCUCUUUGUUGAGUGUUAGUGGAGGCACUGAUGUUUACUUUGAAAAAAUUAGAGUGUUUAAAGGAUGUUAUAUGCUUGUAUAAGGUGCAUGGGAUAAUGGAAUAUGACUUUGGCUUUGUUAUUUUGUUGGUUUUGAUGGCCGAAGUAAUGAUUAAAAGGAACAGACGGGGGCAUUCGUAUUGUUACGUUAGAGGUGAAAUUCUUGGAUCGUAGCAAGACGGACAACAGCGAAAGCAUUUGCCAAGAAUGUUUUCA
rnacentral:rRNA from 1 species